rnacentral:rRNA from 1 species
UACGGAGGGUGCGAGCGUUGUCCGGAAUCACUGGGCGUAAAGGGCGCGUAGGCGGCGCGGAUAGUCGGCGGUGAAAGCCCGGAGCUCAACUCCGGGUCGGCCGUCGAUACUUCCGGGCUUGAGCACUGUAGAGGCAGAUGGAAUUCCGGGUGUAGCGGUGGAAUGCGUAGAGAUCCGGAAGAACACCGGUGGCGAAGGCGGUCUGCUGGGCAGUUGCCGACGCUGAUGCGCGACAGCGUGGGGAGCAAACAGG